rnacentral:lncRNA from 1 species
CGUUUCUCUGCCCACCCUUCUACCUGCAACCUCCCAUGUCACCAUCUUUGAGGCAAGUUUCCUGCGGACAGGUAUAGGUUUUUAAAUCCACUCUGCCAACCUCUGUCUUUUAGCUGAUGUAUUUAGACCAUUUACAUUGAAUGUAAUUAUUGCUAUGUUGGGGCUUACAUCUGCCUUUUGUGUUUGAUUUUUCUUCCGUUUUUAUUUCUCUGUUGUCUUUUUCUUGCCUUCCUGUGGGUUGCCCUAACAGUCUUCAGAGUUCCUUGUUUGUUUACUGCUAGUAUUUUUGAGUGACCCUCUGUGCAGCUCCAGGUGCUUGCGCGGGUGUGACCGUAGGUGUCUGCCAGGUGGUUUCCACCCCGGCCUCUGACACCCUGUCAGGGGUCGGUGCUGGGUGCAGCCUGGCAUGGGUGGGAGGCUGGUUCACACUCGAGCCUGGCCAUGCUGGCGUGCUGGAGUUCCCCACGGUUUGGCGUUUGACGGAAUUUCUGCUCCCCCUUUCCUGGCUCUUUGCAGAGAGAACACACUUUGUUGUGUGCAUAUGUUGGCCUUCCCAUGGCACCAGCUUCUUCAGCUCUGCGUCUGGGACCUGUGAGGCUAAGAGAAUGCCCAGGGGUCCCCGCUGACUGGCUCCUUGGGCUGGUCGCAGCCCUUCUGUCGUUGUACCUUUGUUUAGUGCAUCCAAGCUUUUCAGCUGCCCUUAGCAGGAGGAACAGGGAAAGUACGUGGACCUGGAGUGGAGACCAUGGCCAUUCACUUCUACAGGAGGGAGAGCGGACUCAGGAUUGGUGAGAACUGGACGUCUUGAAAGUGGCGAAUGGCUUGGCUGGCAGAUUGCGGCCUAGAAGAGGCAAGACUGGGAACCUGGGACAAAGCGGCACCAGCUGCAGGGACCACGAGGACCCAGGUCACUGCCAGAUAAGGGACCACGUGUGGACCCAGAGCUCCCUGUGGCCUCGUUCGCUGCUCCGUGUCUAGUGGUUCCCAUGCAAGUGUGACUUUUACAAAGAUCUCACAUGAAUGUAGAGAUCGCCCAGCUAAAUAUCUUAAAAAGGAGGGAACUGCAGCUGGAAGGACCUUGAUGUGGCCAGAGUGCACCAGCAACCGCAGCCCACACGCCCCACACCGCGCAGCCAAGUGUGAGUUCUCGUUUGCCAAGUGUGCAUGGGGCUCACACACGAGUAGCCAGAGUGUAAACAUGUUCUCACCAAAGAAGUGCGUGAUGGGUGGACGUCCACUUCCACACAGAGGAUCCAGCCUCGUGGAAACCCUGAUGGACGCUCCAGCCUCUGCACACACUCACGGGUACUAAACAAGCCCCUGGAGUGGCUGCGUCGUGAGUUUGCGUUUUCCCAGGGGGGCUUAGAACGUGACGCCGAGUGUUGGAAUUCAAUCUGGUGUGGCAAUAAGAUCAGGAGAAAAUAAAACACUCAAGAUCAGAGGAAAAAACUGUCUUUGAGAGAUGACUUCACAUCAGUUUAAAUUGCCAAUAAAACCUAAAUAAACAGAAACAAGCAAAACUUGUCAGUCCUUAAAGCCCUUCACUCCACUCACCUGUCCGUGCGGGUUCCUGGCCACGCCGCUCCCGGCCCCUCUGCCCUGUGCCCGGGGGUUCCGAUGGCCAGGCGGUGCUGGGGGUGCCUGGACCCCAUGUCCGCAUGGCUGGGGUGGGCGGCAGGCCCAGGGCCACGUGGCCGU